AGGCGCCGUGGUCCGUCUGGUGUACUCCUGGGUGGUGGGGUCUAGGUUGCGUGGCUCCAGCUCCUGGCUCUUUUCCGCGGCACGGCGGAGCAGGCUUGCGUGGUACUUGGCCAGAGUCAGCCCUGGAGUCUCACAACCUUGACCAGCUGUGGAAGUUUUGAUUUUUCUCGGGUUCCCCCCCACGACAUCUAAAGUCACUCUUUUCCCUUAAGGUUGUGUGGCUGAACACGGACUCUGUUUGAUCAGCUCCACCUUGGGUUCACAGUGCUACCACUUCCCUGUUCUGGGUGACUGAACUUUAGCCUGCUCACAAGGAAUGAACGCCAGCCAGAUAACGUUCUCAUCGUUUUGCCAGGCCUUCAACUGCUGUGAACACUGGAAGAGCACCUUUUGUGUAGAUGGUUAAAGGUCACUGAGACCCUCCUCUCCCCACAGUCAGAUUCUAUUUUUAGCUUUGGUCCCUUUCAGUUCCCCUGUACCCAUUCGGCAGCAAAGAGUGCAGUUUCGAAUGCCUGUGUAUGUUACCCACAAUAAACUUCG